AGACCUACAACAACCCAGUGAUUCCGGCCAUGAAAGCCUUCGACAAUGCGUUAUGUACAGUAUAUAGCUGCAUUAUAUGGAUCUUCACUGAGCAUGCAAUACACGCCAAACUGCAUUUAUACGGCAGUGUAGAUUCAGCUUCUGGAGAGGAAACUCACAGUGGUUUUGCCAUCCCUAGUAUUUGUUGAUGGUUUCCCAUCUAAGUACUAACCAGGACCGACCCUGCUUAGCUUUCCAUUUCAGAAAGGUGAAACUUUUGGGGUCUUUAGGGCAGUUGGUGGUCUGCUGCAUCCCCAAGAAAAAGGAGCCCAUUCAUCUGGGAUUUGGAAGACUUUUCACAAAGGGUUCUCCCGGUUAUGUGUUUAUGCAGUCGCCUGAAGGCAAUGCUUUUAAGACUGACAGCAGGGAGGGGGGGAUCCAUGAUGCCAGUCAAAGCCUAAGAGCCCCGUGGGAGGGCAGGGAGAAGGUCAACCCCGGUCUCCCAGGCCAGGCUGUCUCUCCCUGGGCCCCUUUGGGAGGGCAGAUCUAAUCAGGUCCCCCUGCUUGGCCCUCCUUCCUCCAAGGAAGGGAAGGGGCCAGGCCGCUGGAGGAGGGUGGCAAAUGCCCAGAGUGAGGAGGGCUCUCUUUCAUGUUGGAACUGAGAUGAGAUGAACCGGACACAGCCUCUUCCUAUUGCGAAGGUGUCAGAAAGCAGCCAGCUGGUAGACCACAGCUUUUCCCCACUGCUUGCAGAUCAGAAUCGUUUGAUACACGUUUGAGGCAUUGCCAAGGCCAGGGAGGUGCAAGAGAAGAAGAUUUGCCCAUCACUCCUAGAUGCGUAAAGGCGUGGAAGUUGCCUAGCUCAUGCUGGGCUUGGAUUUAUUUCAGAGUCACUACCCAACCCCUCCUCGGAUCCAUUCCAAUGAACUAUGCCGAUGGAGCAGGAAUUCUCACCACUCCCUUUUACUCGAGAGGAAGUCCCAAAGUUACUUCCGAAAGCUGGAACAGUCGGAAUUGGCUCAAGACAUUUUACUGUGUGGGGCAAAGAGAAUGUACAAAAAGUGGAUAGAGCUGCAGAUGUGACAGUACUACCACCACAUCUGAAAACAGAAUGUGCUUUGCCAAUUUCCUGUUCACAUUGACUAUCUACAGGGAUCCUAAGAAAAUGGCUUACAGGAAGUCACCAGCAUCCUCUCCUUUGUUUCCUUGGAACCAAAGCACAAUAUUAACACAGGCAAUGCAGGCAACAACUUGAAGUUUCCCUUUUGUUGUAAAAACCGUAAUAAUUAAAAAUUGAUGCCACAACAUACACUGGAAUGCAGAAAACAAACAGGGGUCAGAACCAGCUGACCCAAGCCUGAAAGCAUAUAAGAUUUCCCAAGAAGCUGAUUGGACUUCAGUUGAGAAGAGACCAGUCAAGAAGGGAUGGUGAACGUAACAUUUGACUCUCCAGACAUUUUGAAGUACUAUACUUCCCAGCCAGCAUGGAAAAUGACUGCUAAUUGGAACCCUGGCAUCACAUUUCCCUGGUGAAUGAUGCCAGCCAUGGAGAGGGAAUGAAGAAAUGGCCAUCUCAUCAUUCUGCUCGCCUGUCAAGGAGAUGUGGAAAUGUGCUGGCAUUCCAGCUGAAGACAUCAUUAUGAGUGAGAAAAUGCUCAAGGCCCUUUUUCAAAGUGGGUGCCGAAAGAGAUGCUUUCCUUCUUUGACUUCGGGGAAGGCUGAGAGCUGCCCCAGAAGACAGGCAUUGAGAGGAUGCACUACAAAAUAUGAUGAUGAAGAAAUCCAUAACAAAGGACAACCAGCCUGCAGUGAGAGAAUUCUAAGCAGCACACACAUGGCAGAAGUGAUUUUAAUAUCAGACAGGUUUAGUUUCCUAAUCUUUGCUAUUCAUAUUGACGGGUAGCUUCAUAUGGUUUUAGAGAUUUGUAUCUAUUAAGACAUGCUGCAGUGUUCCUACAACCUGGGAACAAGUGUGCUGGAGAUCAGUGUUCUUCUUCCUCUGUGAUAAAAAUUGAUAUGAACUGUUUUAAACUACUAGCAGAUAAUUACUCUGAACACUCAAUAAAGAAAGCUAUAUCUUUAGAGCCUUCCUUUAUCUUUUUUUUAAAAAAAAUUCACUAUCCCCCCCUCUUUUGUUUCUUUGAUUACUUGGAGCCUUGUAAUCAAACUCAGCUUAGUUUCAGGACCCUUGGGGCAGUAUCUCUUAGUUCCCUGUCAAGCUGCGUUGCAAAACAAUCAAUCUUGCUCUGGCUCUCUCUUGGCGGAAGUGCCACGACACCAGGAGUGCAAUGCUUUGCUCUUGCCAUGAAGCCUCAAUGACAAAAGUUUUUAUAAGAAGCUGACUGUAUUUAGGGUUAUGAAUAUGCAAUGACUCUCAUUAGUAUUGAAGCACGGGAGCAAGGGCUGACAUCUCCCCUCCGCCACUUUGAGCUGCGGCAGAAUUGUCUAAUGAAUUGUCUUGCUCUUUCUCUUGCACAGGCUUUCUCUGUUGUGGCUCCCAGUUCCAAGGGGAGUUGCCCAGUUUGAGCAUACUAUUGACUGCAGAAAUUAAUUGCCAAGAACUGCUCUUGAUUUUGUUAAACAAUCUUGUGACAGUGUUUAAAUUGUCAAAACAGAAAAUCAUUCCACUCCACGCGAGAUAAACUCAACCUGAGGGAGGGGACCCGUAUGUCAAUUAAUUUGGACACACACUUUGCUCAUAUGUACAUGUGUACAAUGCAAAGAUUUACAUAUUUCUAUGUAUAUGGGGAAAUCCACACAGACAGGCAAUUCCCCCCACUCCCAAAACCUCCUUUAAGAUCAACACUGGGUGUAAUCAAGUCAUACAUAUCUGGCAUUCUAUUGGUUAGGCACUUUGUCUUCUCAGUAGAACAAAGCAGGAUGACAGAAUGAUCUCCAAAUGGAAGCUAUUCAUACAGCACAAAGCUAUUUUGUGAACUCUUCAGGACUCUUUCUCACACAUUCCUCCCUUUCCCAUCCUAGUCCCUACCCAACAUUUAGUGUUUUACAUACACAAUCUAACACAAAUGUGAUAUCAAUAACCUUGUGUACCAGGAUUUUUGUUCCUGGGUUAUAAAUGUCAUUUCCUAAUUGGUUCUAUCAUAAAAGCAUGGAAAAGUUUAUUAAACUGUAAAACCUUUGUUUUUGCAGGACAUCCUGCAGCACAUUUUGCUAUAGUUUUUCAAUUAGUAUCUUAUCAAGUUGCAACCAAUUCAACAUACGAAAAAUAUGAAGUUUCUAGAGUAUAACAACUACUUUCAAAGUACGUGCCACACAAUUUAAUAGGAAUAACACUUUCAAACUAGGAAUAUAUAUUUUUUUCCAAAUUUUGUUACAUAGUGUAAUAAUAACUGAAACUGAUAAAGAUACCUGCCUUGAUGUGUAGUAUACGAGAAGCAAAACAUGGUCAGCUACAUGUCUCAGCUGGAUAAAUUAAAUAAUAGUAAUAAUAAUAAUAAUAAUAAUAAUAAUAAUAAUAACAACAACAACUUAAUUUUUGUACCUCCCCCCCCCUCCAUCUCCUUGAAGGGACUCAGGGUGGCUUACAUAUGGCACAAUAUGCCUAAAACAACGUAAAAUAGACACACAAUACAGUACAAGAUAAAACUAAUAACAUAUCAAACAAUAAUUUAAGUUCAUAAAAAACAGCGCCCAACUGUCGUAAAACACGGUCAACUGUAGACAGGAACAAGGGAAUAUGGUAGUGCAAGUUGUAGUUAAUAAACUAGGGCAUGGGACAAAAAUACAGUGCUUUGUCAUUAAUUGCGAACCAUCGGGUCUAGAAGAGUGGUUCUAAACCUGUGGGUCCCCAAGUGUUAUGGCUACAACUCCCAGAAAUCCCAGCCAGUUUAGCAGCUGUUAGGACUCCUGGGAAUUAAAGGCCAAAACAUCUGGGGACCCACAGGUUGAGAACCACUGGGCUAGACAUUCUCAAAUUCUUCAAUUCUUGUUAUAGACCCAUUUCCUUUCUCUCUCUCUCCCUUUAAAAUAUAGAGAAAGUUUUUGCAUGCUGCACAGAUAGGAAAAACUCAAAAUGGAUAUGAGGGAAAAGUAGGAGGUGGAAUGGAAUUAAGAAUAUAGUCUUUACGGGAAAGCAAUCAGUAUUGAUGCACCUUAUUUCACUGGAUAUACAGUGAAACUAGUUAUGCUAGAAGAAGAAAGAGCUGUUAAUGUCAAUACACUGGGGAUGGGGAGGGAAAAUAAGAUCUUUGCUUGUCUCUCGCCCCAACUUUUUCAGUGUUCAGAUUCAUAUUUCUAUCUUCUGUAGAACCUCCAUAUAGAUGAGAACAGUUGAAGAACAAACACAGUUCUGACAAAAGUGGUGCAAGUAUCAUACAUCAAACACUUGUUACCUCACUUGGCCUUAGGAAUUGCACAUGACUAAGAACAAGGCAGUGAUAAAAUCUGAAGAAAGAUGAAACCAAUCUGGGCCUUUUUAAAGACCAUCAAUCAUUCUGUGCAACCAUGAUAUUAUUAGCUAAAACUGAGCCUUGUUCUCCUGUUUAAUGGACAUUGUAAACCCCAUCCCAUUUCUAUCCUGAGACCAAUACUACCAUGGGAAAUCAUUUUUAUGGGCAAUAUCUUCAUAGGGAACCAAUCAGAUCUAAUCAGAUAACAAGCUACUGAAUUAUUCAGUAUUCUCCCUAAAUUUGCAUUCUAGCUGUUCUUUGCUGUCAGUCCCUACUUCUAGAAGUAUGUGAAUUUUUGCUCCUCUACCCAUUAUGUUAAGAAGACAGUGUGAUGUGGGGAUUUUUCAUAAUCUGUAUAUUCUAUAACUAUCAUUGGCUUGUAUGCGUGGUUACCACAUGUGAAUAAUCAUGUAAAAAUAUUUGGUUCCUGUUUUUUAAUACACUGCUAUUAAAUUCUUACCAUUCCCAAAUGUAAAACCAGCAGGCCCAAGCACAGGAAAGUGAAAGCAUUGUUUUGGAUGUGUAAAAUGUUAAAAUGUACAGUACUAUGCAAAUAAUCACCAGCAUUCCUGAUAGAUAUUUCUGUGAAUCUGGAAUUUUAUUAUGUGAAAAUAUUGCAGUUUUAAUUGCAAAUCUUGGUAGAGAUGAUUUGAAGCCUGUAAUUAGCACAUAAAUUCCAGACUUUGUGACUAGUAUGAAAACAUAUAGUAUUUAUGGAAUGAUUAUCUAAAUAUAAUGCAGUGUUUUCUGUUUUUAGUGAAUACUGUAAAGUCUGAUUUAAUAAAGAGAAGAACUGCUAUUUCAUGGA